rnacentral:rRNA from 1 species
CGUGUAGCAGUGAAAUGCGUAGAUAUGUGGAGGAACACCAAUGGCGAAGGCAGCCCCCUGNNNUNNNACUGACGCUCAUGCACGAAAGCGUGGGGAGCAAACAGGAUUAGAUACCCUGGUAGUCCACGCCCUAAACGAUGCUGACUNNUUGUUGGGAAUUUACNNUCUCAGUAACGUNGCUAACGCGUGAAGUNNACCGCCUGGGGAGUACGGUCGCAAGAUUAAAACUCAAAGGAAUUGACGGGGACCCGCACAAGCGGUGGAUGAUGUGGAUUAAUUCGAUGCAACGCGAAAAACCUUACCUACCCUUGACAUGUCACUAACG